GUUGUAUGGUUAAGUGACUAAGCGUACACGGUGGAUGCCUUGGCAGUCAGAGGCGAUGAAAGACGUAAUAACUUGCGAUAAGCCCAGAUUAGGUAGUAAUAACCUUUUGAGUCUGGGAUUCCUGAAUGGGGAAACCCACGUGCACAAGCACGUAUCCUGUUGUGAAUACAUAGCAACAGGAGGCAAACCGGGGGAACUGAAACAUCUAAGUACCCCGAGGAAGAGAAAUCAACCGAGAUUCCGAAAGUAGCGGCGAGCGAAAUUGGAUUAGCCCUUAAGCUUUUAAUGAUGCAGGUGAAGCCUCUGGAAAGUGGCGCAGUAAAGGGUGAUAGCCCCGUAACCGACAUGUCAUUUUAAGUGAAAACGAGUAAGG
rnacentral:rRNA from 1 species